GAUGAACGCUGGCGGCGUGCUUAACACAUGCAAGUCGAGCGAACGGACGAGAAGCUUGCUUCUCUGAUGUUAGCCGCGGGCGUGUGAGUAACAUGUGUAUCCCCCACCUAUAAGACUGGGAUAACCACGGGAAACCGGAGCUAAUACCGGAUAAUAUCUUGAUCCGUAUGGUUGGAAAGUGAAAGACGGUGUUGCUGUCACUUCUAGAUGGAUCCGCGCUGCUUUAGCUGGUUGGUAAGGUAACGGCUUACCAGGGCAACGAUGCAUAGCCGACGUGGGAGGGUGGUCGGCGACACUGGAGGUGAGACGCGGUCCAGGGUCCUACGGGAGGCCGCAGUAGGGAAUGUUCGGCAGUGGGCGGAAGCCUGCCGGAGCGGCGCCAAGUGAGUGAUGAAGGUCUUCGGAUCGGAAAACUGUGUUAUUGGGGGAAAACAUAUUUGUAAGGAACUGAGCACUUCGUGACGGUACCUGAUCAAGAAGCAACGGCUAACUACGUG
rnacentral:rRNA from 1 species